CGGUAACAUAUCUUGCUUGCAAGAUGAUGACGAGUGGCGAACGGGUGCGUAACGCGUAUGCAACCUACCUUAAACUGGGGGAUAGCCAGAAGAAAUUCUGAUUAAUACCCCAUAUUAUAUAUUCUUCGCAUGUUGAAUAUAUCAAAGCUUUGGCGGUUUAAGAUGGGCAUGCGUGACAUUAGCUAGUUGGUAAGGUAACGGCUUACCAAGGCAACGAUGUCUAGGGGGUCUGAGAGGAUUAUCCCCCACACUGGUACUGAGACACGGACCAGACUCCUACGGGAGGCAGCAGUGAGGAAUAUUGGACAAUGGGCGAAAGCCUGAUCCAGCCAUGCCGCGUGCAGGAAGAAUGCCCUACGGGUUGUAAACUGCUUUUAUAUAGGAAUAAACCCCUCUACGUGUAGAGGGCUGAAGGUACUAUACGAAUAAGGAUCGGCUAACUCCGUGCCAGCAGCCGCGGUAAU
rnacentral:rRNA from 1 species